AGGGUUUGAUCCUGGCUCAGAUUGAACGCUGGCGGCAGGCCUAACACAUGCAAGUCGAGCGGUAGAGAGGUGCUUGCACCUCUUGAGAGCGGCGGACGGGUGAGUAAUGCCUAGGAAUCUGCCUGGUAGUGGGGGAUAACGCUCGGAAACGGACGCUAAUACCGCAUACGUCCUACGGGAGAAAGCAGGGGACCUUCGGGCCUUGCGCUAUCAGAUGAGCCUAGGUCGGAUUAGCUAGUUGGUGGGGUAAUGGCUCACCAAGGCGACGAUCCGUAACUGGUCUGAGAGGAUGAUCAGUCACACUGGAACUGAGACACGGUCCAGACUCCUACGGGAGGCAGCAGUGGGGAAUAUUGGACAAUGGGCGAAAGCCUGAUCCAGCCAUGCCGCGUGUGUGAAGAAGGUCUUCGGAUUGUAAAGCACUUUAAGUUGGGAGGAAGGGCAUUAACCUAAUACGUUAGUGUUUUGACGUUACCGACAGAAUAAGCACCGGCUAACUCUGUGCCAGCAGCCGCGGUAAUACAGAGGGUGCAAGCGUUAAUCGGAAUUACUGGGCGUAAAGCGCGCGUAGGUGGUUCGUUAAGUUGGAUGUGAAAUCCCCGGGCUCAACCUGGGAACUGCAUUCAAAACUGUCGAGCUAGAGUAUGGUAGAGGGUGGUGGAAUUUCCUGUGUAGCGGUGAAAUGCGUAGAUAUAGGAAGGAACACCAGUGGCGAAGGCGACCACCUGGACUGAUACUGACACUGAGGUGCGAAAGCGUGGGGAGCAAACAGGAUUAGAUACCCUGGUAGUCCACGCCGUAAACGAUGUCAACUAGCCGUUGGGAGCCUUGAGCUCUUAGUGGCGCAGCUAACGCAUUAAGUUGACCGCCUGGGGAGUACGGCCGCAAGGUUAAAACUCAAAUGAAUUGACGGGGGCCCGCACAAGCGGUGAGCAUGUGGUUUAAUU
rnacentral:rRNA from 1 species